GUUCUGAAGGUUAUACUGAAUUUGUGCCUUGUAAAACUUUCUUGCUGGAAUUACAGCAUUUAAGGCAAUAGAAAAGCCUAAAGUCCAAUCUUUCUGGAAAUGUCCUGUUCCCUUCAGCUGCCUUCUGGACAUCACUGCCUCUCUGGUGGAACAGCAGAACAGAUGUUAACUACAGCAGUUGCUCUCAGUAAAUGGCUCACUUUCUGUAGUGGCUCAUCUACCUUCUGGCUGAGCAGAAGAACAAUCUGAUAUCAAUUGUAAUGCCAUCCUCAAAGCCAUCCUUCAAAUGUGUGCAGUGGGAGAAGUGAAGGGUAUGCAACAGACAGGCUCUCAUUUCUCAGCUGCUUUUUGUCUUCACUCACUGCUCCUUCCUCGUCAGUCAGCCACUUGCUGCCCUCAUCUCACACAGAAACCCCAGGAAAACCUUCCCAUGCAUUCCCUAGCAGGGGAUGCUCUCGUAGUCCAAACAUGAAUGUUGCCAGAGCCACAACCUGUUCCUUGUUCAGCUCAGCACAGCGCAUCUAAGCAGAUGGAGACAGCUGCAACAUGAGAGUUGCACAAAACCCAAGAAGAAAUGAGCAAGAACGUACCAUCCAGCAGCAGCCCUGCAAAUAGGGAAAAGGGAGAAGCAAGUCUUGGGUUCUUGUCCCAUCUUCAGGGUUGGUUCAUGGAUUUUACAUUGAAAAAUGAUAGAAUAAAUGAUUAAAAAGAAGAAGAAGAAGAUGACAGAAGAAUCAAAUCUGGGAGUGGAAACAAGAUGUUCUCCUUCCAGGAAGAAGGAAGAAAGGAAGAGAGGGCCUGGGUUUAUUUUGCUUUCCUAACCCCAGAUGUCUUGUCCACUGUAACCACCAGCCUGUAGGAGAACCUACGAAGCAGCCCAAACCUGAAAUGGGGCCAACUUACAAGAAGUAAAUAAGGAUUCUUCAGUUCCAAAAGACAGCUCACCUAUGCAACACUGGCAUACUACAGUGGCUGCUCCAAAAGUAAUGCUUCCCAUUUUAUUUUGUUGGCAAACUAUGACAGAGACAGACAUUGAUACUAUGGCAGUACAGGUUGAACCUUUCCCCCGAUAUUCCAUUACAUUUUGUUGUUGUGCAACAGAUGGAAGCAGAGGGGCAGUCUGACAAAAUGGUGUCUUACAUGGAAGUAUGUGUGAAGCAAAGGUGUGUCACUGAAUUCCUCCAUGUGGAAAAAGCAUACUGACAUUCAUUAAUGCUUGCUGAAUGUUUCUGGAGACCAAACAGUGGAUGUGAGCACAGUGAGGAGGUGGGUGAUGUGUUUUAACAGUGGUGUCAGCAACGUGGAAGACAAGUCAUGUUCUGAUGGCCAUGCCCAGCUGUCACACCGUGAAAUGAAGAGUGGUUUUAUCAGCUCAUCCACACAGGAAUCAGCUAAUGGUGGUGAUUAUGCAAAAAAAUAGUGUUUUGUAGAGAAGAGUUUGCUUUAUCAAACACUAUUACCGUGCUCUUUGUAUCUGUUGCAGUUUCUAUAGAAAUAAAUAGGAGGCAUUACCUCAGAGCAGCCGAUGUACAUACCACUGAAAAAUUUCAUUGCCUCAAACUUUGAUGUAUUGCUAUAAGUUUUUUUCCAAAUCAAGAGAAAACAAAACAAGAAUCUCUCCUCAAUGACUCCACACUGCCCUGCACCACAUACAGUUCCUGAGCAGCAGACGGUUCCUAGGGGAGCUUGGUUGCACGAUAAGUGCUGGUGCUAUGAAUUGUUGCAGUGGGUUACAGAGUAAUCUCAACUUUUGUUUGCAGGAGGGAGUCUGGUAGCCCAAGCUUUUGAGGGUGAUAUUAUUUCCUUGAUUGUAUGAUUAGACUGCAUGGCUAAUCCAGUCCAUCCUUGUAAUGGACAGGUGGGAGUCCUAAUGAGCCAUCAUCAGCUCCUCCUGAGAGCUUCCACUUCCCUCAGUCUAUCUGCAUUAGUAGCAUUUGUGUGUGUUGUGGCCUCCAGCCAUAUGAAGAUUUCAGUGAGCAGCUCACAGAGGCAAAGAAGGUAGCAUCCACAAAAAGUGGAGAUACUCAGGAGUAAGUAUAGACACCUGGCUCCCAGUCCUUGCUUCACUGGUUGGUUUAUGUAUUUAAAAUACAUUUUUAUCUUAUAUUUAACAUCUACAUUAGAAAUCUUACAUAAACCAGUCAUUGGAGCAGGGGCUGAGAUUCAGGUGUCUCUGGCCCUCAGUGAAUGUUCCUGCUAUGCAGGAUACAGCUCCUUAGGUGAUACAGGCAGAGGAACAUGCUUGUGGAACCUGUCAGGCAUAAAUUAGACAUGGGGAAUUCAGCUCUGCUGUCACUGAAAGACUCCUAGACAUACCGAGAAACAUCAGGCACUUGGUUUAAUGCUGAAAGCAGAGGACUGAUUGGUAGCUGAAAAAUAUUUGGAUGCAGGCACCUUAAGAUCAAUCAUGUAUUUUUAAAAUCUUACUAAAUACUUAUUUGCAUCUUUAGGUACCUAAGUAACUGCAACAGUUUGAUUUCAGGUCAAUUUAAAUACUUGUGCUUCUUGCAUGUUAUUUUAAGACUUUUCCCUUAAUAAUUUUUUUUCCACUCUAAAAGUGGUUUCCUAAUGCGACUCAGAGGGAGACUGUCAUUAGUAAGUCAUUAAUGAGCCUGCAACUUUGAUUGUGUUCAUUACAUGUCAAGUAAGAAUUAUUUCAAUGAAAUAAAUUACUUUUUUUUUUUUUUGCCUAAUCAGUAGGACAAGAAUUCAUGCUCAGCAUCCCUUUACUCUGAGAGAUUUGAUCCUUUUGUUUGAAAUAUGUUAGCUAGAACUGUUACUUUCAACCUAUAUUUCUGGUUCUCAGCUAUUAAAACAGAAAUGUAUUUUGUUUGUCUGACCAGGAAAAGGCACUUUGAAAAUAUCUGUCCUAUUGCCUAGGCAGCCUCACUAAGGGGUUGUGCUCACACUUAUAAAUUACAAAAACAGAAGAAAAAAAGAAGAAAACAUAAAACUCUACUGUACAUAAGCAAUUAUUUAAAAAUAAUCAUUUUCUGCUAGCAUUUUUUGGCAGCAUGCGCUCUGAGACACGCGAUAAUAUGGAACUAGCCCAAAGACACUGCUGCAUGUUAGUAAAUAUCACGUGAGUUUUCAGGGUCAUCACCCAGGACUGUCACAAAACAGGUUAUGUCAGAGGCAAGCUGAGCAUCAGCUUUGAAAUUCCUGUUCGAUUAACUGGUGACCUUCUUGAGCCUUCUGCAGAAUAUAUUUAAGCAUUAGAAAGAAAAUAGAUGAUGAGAAAGUCCACAAAAAUACUCUGUCUUUAUAGGUGCAGCAGCUGGAUCAUACAGUGAAGUGAAAACCUAUGGGAAGUAGGGCCCCAUCCUGCAAAUAUCCGUAUAUUCACUGAAUUUUGUUUCUUCCAACCCCCAGGGGACAGGACAGCACUCCAGCUCCUUCACACUGAGGCAGAGCUUUUCUGAAGGACUCGAGUCCGCAUUUGCACGCCUCAUUUUCUCAUUGUUCAACUUUGCUCCAUGACUUGUUUGUACAACAAAGGUAAGCAUGAAAUAGGCCUUGCUCCAGAGGAGGGUGUUUCUAAGGUAUUGCUUAUAUACAUAUGAAUAAACACAGUAUUUUAAUUUUCUGUAGACUAGCAUUAUGUUCAUUAUUGCAGUAAAAACUUAUGCAGAAUGUAAACUCUCAGAUGUGAUAAAACAGUAUCACCCUUUGAAGACUAGUUUCACAUUGAAUACACUGUAUUUUUAAAAGCUGUUAAAUUACGUGUCAGUUGUAAACAUUCUUUGACUAUCCUGCAGCUAAAACAAGAUGGAAGUUUACAUUUAAAAUAAGGAACAAAUCCCUGAAUAUUUCACCCUCAACCUUGUAAGCAGCUCCAUGGUGCCAGGAUGCAUUACCUUCACCUGGAAUCCACCAGAUCACAGUAAUCCAUAUAUCAUAGAACCAUGGAAUGGUUUGGGUUGGAAGGGACCUUUAGGAUCAUCUAGUUCCACUCCCCUUCAAUAGGCAGGGACACCUCCCCCUAGACCAGGUCGCUCACAGCCCCAUCCAGCCUGGCCUUGAAUGCUUCCAGGGAGGGGGCAUUCACAACCUCUCUGGACAACCUGUUUCACUGUCUCACCACGUUCACAGUAAAGAAUUUCUUCCUAAUAUCUAGUCUAAAUCUACAUUUUUCCAGUUUAAAACCACUUCCCCUCAUCCUGUCACUACAUGCCCUUACAAAAAGUCCCUCCCCAGUGCAUAUAUGUGUAUUGAUAAAAGAUAUACCCACAAAAAAUCCUAUUAAAAAGUUAUAGAAGAAGGAUUCAGCCACACCCUUUCUUUCCCAAAUCAGAAUAUUACUCUUUUAUUGCAGCAAGACCACUCUAGUAUGUCAGUGGAAAUUUUCAUGAAUUGAUAUAUUUGAUGAAGGUCCUCUUCAUCAAAUGGAUCCUCUCCUCAGUGUAGGACUUCAAUUUUGUUCAGUGCAUACUGCAAUCAUCCCAUUAUGAAAAAAAGAUUCUUGAAAAUGUGAAUGAAAUGAAGCUGAUGCAGUGUUGGUGUUGUGAGUAUGCCUGUACUUAACCUCAAAGUAGCAUUAUUUACUGCUUUCCUGCUGAAAAACUGGAUAAAAGUUGAUGUAACUCAUACAUCAAUUACAUUUCAGUGCCACUUAGACUAUCAAAAUCACUGAGUCAGUGAGACAACUCACAUGAAAAUAUCUUUUGCUAGAUGGUUAGGGUUACAUGACAAACUUAUCAUUUUCAAAACUUUAAAUUGGAUUUCAUGUCAUAUUUAUUGUGAACUGCCAAUGAAGUCAGAAAAAUACCUGUUUAAAAAAAACCCAUACUUCUACGCUCUCCAAUAGACAGACAACCAUAGAUUGCAAACUACUGGUCUUCAUCUAAUCUACCCAGAAUUUAGAUGACCUAGAGGUGAUGAGAAUUGUUUGGUAAUGUUUUAAAAUGUUUUGGGAAAUAUUUGUAAAAUUAUUUGAGUUCCUAAGAGAGAAAAGUGUCACUACUGUCCAAACUGUUGCCGUUAUGUAUAGAUACUAAUUGCAGUGUGUUUCACAAACAGGUGAAACUCAACUGUAUUGGUUAAAGUAACAUUCACAAACGAGAGAUACAAAAAUGUAGAUAGAGCUAUCCAAAUAUGUUGUGCAAAGCCAAAAGAAUGUAAGAAAAAAAUAAUUAUAAGGAAUAAAGCAGUGAUUAAAAUGAUCGAAAUGUAUGAAUAUGAAUAUUGAAGUAUAGACCAAGAGUGACACAUGCAAAGCUGGGUGAAUAAGCCAUGGAGACUGUCUCUACUUCUCUUUCCUCCCAUGGUACUCUCCAAGAUGAUGAAGUGUGGAUUUGUUUCUCUCCACAGUUCCUUUACCCCCAGUAGUGUCUCCCAUCACUUCAGCUUCACCACAGCACUUCUGCAUGAUCUGGGACUUUCCUUUUGUUGUAUUUCUUUUGGGAGGACAGUCUGUGCAACCUGCUAAGGGAUAUGUAUGUGCUUAUUGUGGUUUCCCAGACCAGCUGCGGGCCACUGACUGUAACCGCAAACCAGCAGCAGUAUGAGAUGAGACCCUAGGGAAGUGUGGACAAACCAAACAAGUGGUGGCUACCCAAUCCUGGACAGACAGGAGGGGCAUGUAGCUGGGCUGAGCGGUCCUGUUAUGAAAUUUUUCCUGCUUUCCUUACAAACUGGCCAGGGAAGCCUUUCCCUCAUUUAGACAGAGAAUUGUGUGUUCUGCACAGACACUUCAUGAAAAAGUCCCUUGGGUAGGUUAGAUAAGAGUACAACCUCCUGGACAUGGUAAUGUAUGAAAGGCACUUCAACUUCUCCACUCAUUUAACAUUUAACUUGGCAAAAAAGAUGUGUUGCUUUAUCAAGAAAUGACAGGCAGAGCCCAUGACUAUUAAGGAAGGAGUGAUGCUGAGACAGACAAUUACGACUUGGGUAAGUGUUGGCUGCCCCAAACCCCCUGAGAUCUAUUUGUUGUUCUGAGCAAAUUGCUUUUGUUUUGUCUUUUUUUCAACAAGUGAAUGUAUUUUGACUUUCUUAUGUAAUUGCAUGUUUGCCUUUCUUCUCCUCCAGACCUUCCAGUGAUGGUACCCCUGAAGCUUCAUGGUUUCAUCAUCUUUAAAGUCUAGAGGAAACCUCUACCAUUACUAAGAGAGAUGGUUCUCUGGGUAGAAAAUGGAAGGGUUUUGCUUGGUUUGUACUAUAACAUAAUAUUCAGCAAGUGGCAGUUUCUCUGGUGGAUGGUGAUACUGCUCCAGCACACUUAUACAAUGGGAUAUCACUAAUGCCUCCAUUUGGUAGAUUAAAUGCUUCGAUUCUUAA